GACAGAGGGGGCAAGCGUUGCUCGGAAUCACUGGGCGUAAAGGGCGCGUAGGCGGGAUGGCAAGUCGGUCGUGAAAUCCUUCGGCCCAACCGAAGAACGUCGGCCGAUACUGCCAUUCUUGAGGGAUGCAGAGGAGACUGGAAUUCCCGGUGUAGCGGUGAAAUGUGUAGAGAUCGGGAGGAACACCGGUGGCGAAGGCGGCCAUCUGGAUCAACACUGACGCUGAGGCACGAAAGCGUGGGGAGCAAACAGG
rnacentral:rRNA from 1 species